GAUGAACGCUGGCGGCGUGCCUAAUACAUGCAAGUCGAGCGAACGGACGAGAAGCUUGCUUCUCUGAUGUUAGCGGCGGACGGGUGAGUAACACGUGGAUAACCUACCUAUAAGACUGGGAUAACUUCGGGAAACCGGAGCUAAUACCGGAUAAUAUUUUGAACCGCAUGGUUCAAAAGUGAAAGACGGUCUUGCUGUCACUUAUAGAUGGAUCCGCGCUGCAUUAGCUAGUUGGUAAGGUAACGGCUUACCAAGGCAACGAUGCAUAGCCGACCUGAGAGGGUGAUCGGCCACACUGGAACUGAGACACGGUCCAGACUCCUACGGGAGGCAGCAGUAGGGAAUCUUCCGCAAUGGGCGAAAGCCUGACGGAGCAACGCCGCGUGAGUGAUGAAGGUCUUCGGAUCGUAAAACUCUGUUAUUAGGGAAGAACAUAUGUGUAAGUAACUGUGCACAUCUUGACGGUACCUAAGCAGAAAGCCACGGCUAACUACGUG
rnacentral:rRNA from 1 species